rnacentral:rRNA from 1 species
UACAGAGGGGGCAAGCGUUGUUCGGAAUUACUGGGCGUAAAGGGCGCGUAGGCGGCCGCCUAAGUCAGACGUGAAAUCCCUCGGCUCAACCGGGGAACUGCGUCUGAUACUGGGUGGCUUGAAUCCGGGAGAGGGAUGCGGAAUUCCAGGUGUAGCGGUGAAAUGCGUAGAUAUCUGGAGGAACACCGGUGGCGAAGGCGGCUACCUGGACCGAUAUUGACGCUGAGACGCGAAAGCGUGGGGAGCAAACAGG